rnacentral:rRNA from 1 species
UACAGAGGGUGCGAGCGUUGUCCGGAAUCACUGGGCGUAAAGGGCGCGUAGGUGGCCUGGUAAGUAGGGGGUGAAAUCUUGCGGCUCAACCGCAAGGCUGCCUUCUAAACUGUCAGGCUGGAGCACGGUAGAGGCAGAUGGAAUUCCCGGUGUAGCGGUGGAAUGCGUAGAGAUCGGGAAGAACACCAGUGGCGAAGGCGGUCUGCUGGGCCGUUGCUGACGCUGAGGCGCGACAGCGUGGGGAGCAAACAGG